UGGAAAAGACCAGAGUUAAAACCUCUGGAGAUUUGUUAAAGAGCAGUGAAAAAGGGGAACGGCUGGGGUACUUUUCCUGUUCAGAAGCUGUUCCCAAACGAAACCAAGAGCUGUAGCUGUGUGCUUGGCUGCGCGCUGCUCCCUGCACUGUAGUCAUUGUGUCAAUCUGCAGAACAUCAUUGGAAAUCUAUUAUGUAUAUUAAAUAAGUUCCAUGUAUUCGUAAUCAUCGCUUUUCCUCUGGGAACCACAGUACCGGCUCCAAGUCUAAAUUAGCAUCAUAACUAAUAUCUGUGCAGAAAGUUGUCAGAUUUAUAAAAUGUCUCAGAUUGAAACAUGAAUAGACUAUCUGAGCAGUCAUUUAGUGUCUGGUGAGUCUCUAUUUAUAUCACCAGAGCUACAUCAAUACAGCGACAAAUCUCCCAUUUUUACUUUUCUUACAUUGCCAAUCAAAUUCUCCAGCUCUCGUGUUCAAAACAUAACAGUGAGGCAAAAAUAUCACAGAGGGAGACGUGAUCCCAGAAUCACAAAUUGUUUCAUGGUGAGGCUGAGGGAAUAGAUCUUAUUAUUAACUGUUGGAAGGUCAUAUUAGUGCAAUUAUCAAAAGAAUAUUUGCAGUGCCAAAUCCUUAUUAAACUGUGUGUACUUCGUUUUCUUCCCCUUAAUCACAGUUUUCUAUUUUUGUGGCAGAUGUUUUUGCUUCGGGGGCCGGGAUAUCUGUAGGACUUUCAUGCAUAAGGCUGCUAUAAUUUUUCAUGCUAAAUAUGGUGUCAUCGUUACAACAAAACUUACAGGAGGAGGCAAGCUCUCAGAAAGGUGCUCGUUCUCAGCUCCAUAACACACAAGCGAUAUCUCAGAGUCCCUCAGCCACCUUUGAAAGUGAUUUAAUAAAAAGAGGUUGCAAAAGCAGAAUUAGGGUAACUGAGAGCUGUAAUUUCACUUUCUCACCUUCCAGUCUGAAGGUGUUGACACAUAUUCUGUUAGCAGACAGCUGCAGCAGCUUAAAGUGUUAGCACCGUCCUACUGUUUAUUAUCACUCCUUGCUAAAGAGUAUCAUCCCCGCAGGAGAGCAGGUGCAGGCAUCUCUGGGAGCACCUGAGCCACUUGGGUGCAAAGUCUGCUGGUUCGUUUCAGUGGCAGAGGUGGGCAGAGCUGGGCCUGCACUGCAGUCAUUCUCUUGUGCUAGUUCUGGGGUGCAGCCUGCCGUGACAUGCCAGAACUGAGAUGCUUGCACAGGCAGCUGGCUCACCUAUAGCCCUGCCUUAGAGAAAAACACAAGUGGAGAGAAACAGAAGCUAAAAUUUCUGCAUUAAGAUUCCUGCAUUUCAGCCAUGAUACAGGCAUGUUUUCCAUCCAGCACUGGCACAUUAUUUGUUGUGGAUAUUAUUG